rnacentral:rRNA from 1 species
GAGCGAACAGGGAAGAGCCCAGCACCGAAUCUCCCGGCCAGAGGGUCGGCGAGAAAUGUGGUGUUAGGGAGCGGCCGUUCCCGGUGCGCGCUGGCUCGUUCCAAGUCCUCUUGAAAGGGGCCACGGCCCGUAGAGGGUGCCAGGCCCGUAGUGGACGACGUGCGCGCUCGGGGGGCUUGUCUCCUCAGAGUCGGGUUGCUUGAGAUCGCAGCCCUAAGCAGGUGGUAAACUCCAUCUAAGGCUAAAUACAACCACGAGACCGAUAGCGAACAAGUACCGUGAGGGAAAGUUGAAAAGAACUUUGAAGAGAGAGUUCAAGAGUACGUGAAACCGCCCAAGGGGAAACGGAAGGUAAUUGAGCAAACUAGGCCGGGGAAACUCAUCACCGCUCGCUGGCACGCUCGAGCUACCCGACCGCUGCGCGGCCGCGGACGGCUUUGCCGUCUCGUCGGCUUCCCGCAGAGCCCGGUCGGGCGGAUCCUGCUCUGAGCGGGGGAAACGGAACCCCCGCGAGUCUGCUUGAGGGCGGUGUGCACUUUUCCUUCGCCAUAGUGCGUCGCGAUCCGUUGGUCGGCGGCCUAAGGCCCGGGGUUAUUAUCGGUGCUGCGGCGCGGGUUCGCCCGCGUCGCGGUGCCGAGUCCCCGGUGUGCGUGCGGCGGGCGGCUUCACAGCGCCCGCCUUCGCUUUCCCGGCCGCCGUGUAAGCCCGCCCCGUAGCGGGGCGGCAGUUACGACGGUUAUGAAAUACGUGGAAGACGUCUCGACCGUCACCUACCCCGUCGCAAGGCGGGCGAGGGGGCGGCGGGCCUCUCCGGACCUUGGCUUUUGCCCUUCACAAGCGCGGAACGCGGUGGUUAGCUAGCGCGCGGCGGGCGGCCCGAAGGGGUUUCGUCCUCGCGCGUAUCCCAUCGAUACGUUCGCGCGGUGACAGGAGAGGGGGGCUUGAGUGCUGCACUCGCCUCGGAUCAACCGGCGGCGUAAGUCUCGGUCUACUUUCCGACCCGUCUUGAAACACGGACCAAGGAGUCUAACAUGUGCGCGAGUCAAUGGGACCUUCUAAACCCAAAGGCGUAAUGAAAGUGAAGCUGGGCGGCGCGGUUGACCACCGCGGCCGCCCCGGUGAGGGAGGAUGGCACGGGGCGCGCGCCCUCGCGGGCGCGUCGCUUACUCCGGCCCGCACUCCCGGGGCGUCGUUGACGGCGCACCUAGAGCGCACACGUUGGUACCCGAAAGAUGGUGAACUAUGCCUGGCCAGGACGAAGCCAGGGGAAACCCUGGUGGAGGUCCGUAGCGAUUCUGACGUGCAAAUCGAUCGUCUGAGCUGGGUAUAGGGGCGAAAGACUAAUCGAACCAUCUAGUAGCUGGUUCCCUCCGAAGUUUCCCUCAGGAUAGCUGGCACUCGGAGGCAAGAAAGAAAUGAACAACCGAAUCUCAUUCGGUAAAGCGAAUGAUUAGAGGCCUUAGGGUCGAAACGGCCUUAACCUAUUCUCAAACUUUAAAUGGGUGAGAACGCCGGCAUCCUCAAAGAACUUUAAUGGGCGUGAUGCCGGCGAAAGGAUCGUGAGUGUCCAGUGGGCCAUUUUUGGUAAGCAGAACUGGCGCUGUGGGAUGAACCAAACGUAGAGUUAAGGCGCCUAAACCGACGCUUAUGGGAUACCAUGAAGGGCGUUGUUUGCUUAAGACAGCUGGGCGGUGGCCAUGGAAGUCGGAAUCCGCUAAGGAGUGUGUAACAACUCACCAGCCGAAGCAACUAGCCCUGAAAAUGGAUGGCGCUAAAGCGUCGUGCCUAUACUUUACCGCCGGGGCAAGGCUAGGGUGCCCGCACGUCCCGCGUCGGGGGCGUCGCGUUCGUCUAACCAACGGGCGCGGCGCAGGAGCCCUGUUAAGCCCCGGUGAGUAGGAGGGUCGCGACGGUGAGCGCAGAAGGGUUGGGCGCGAGCCUGCCUGGAGCCGCCKUCGGCGCAGAUCUUGGUAGUAGUAGCAAAUACUCUAGCGAGACCCUGGAGGGCUGAUGUGGAGAAGGGUUUCGUGUGAACAGCCGUUGCACACGAGUCAGUCGAUCCUAAGCCCUAGGGGAAACCCGAUGCAGAUGCCGGCCUUUAUCUAUGUCAAGUGUCCGAAAAGCACUGGCCGCGCGUCGGGCGAAAGGGAAUCCGGUCCCCAUUCCGGAACCCGGUCGCGGAACCGUUUCACGUCGGGCCCGCGCCGAAAGGCGCAUGCUCGUCGGGGUAACCCAACAUGACCCGGAGAAGCCGUCGGGAGGUCUGGGAAGAGUUUUCUUUUCUGUUUGAGCGUUCGGGUUCCCUGGAAUUGCCUAGCGCAGAGAGAGGGAAUGGAGCGCGUAGA